rnacentral:rRNA from 1 species
GGUUGAUCCUGCCAGUAGUCAUAUGCUUGUCUCAGAGAUUAAGCCAUGCAUGUCUCAGUGUAAACUUUUAAACAGUGAAACUGCGAAUGGCUCAUUAAAACAGUUAUAGUUUAUUUGAUAAUCAUUUUUACAUGGAUAACCGUGGGAAUUCUAGGGCUAAUACAUGCGUAAACCCGCAAGGGUGUGUUUAUUAGAUUACAACCAUCUCAGUGGCAACACUGGUGAAUUGGAAUGAUAAUAACCGAUCGAAUCGCACGCUUAAUGUGGCGAUAAAUCAUUCAAGUUUCUGAC